UACGUAGGGUGCGAGCGUUGUCCGGAAUUAUUGGGCGUAAAGAGCUCGUAGGCGGUGUGUCGCGUCGGCCGUGAAAACCUGGGGCUCAACUCUGGGCGUGCGGUCGAUACGGGCAUCACUGGAGUUCGGCAGGGGAGACUGGAAUUCCUGGUGUAGCGGUGAAAUGCGCAGAUAUCAGGAGGAACACCGGUGGCGAAGGCGGGUCUCUGGGCCGAUACUGACGCUGAGGAGCGAGAGCAUGGGUAGCGAACAGG
rnacentral:rRNA from 1 species